CCUACGGGUGGCAGCAGUGGGGAAUAUUGCGCAAUGGGGGCAACCCUGACGCAGCAACGCCGCGUGAUUGAAGAAGGCUUUCGGGUUGUAAAGCUCUUUAAUCGGGGACGAAUUUUGACGGUACCCGAAAGAUAAGCUCCGGCUAACUACUUGCCAGCAGCCGCGGUAAAACGAAGGGCGCAAGCGUUAUACGGAUUUACUGGGGGUAAAGGGCGUGUAGGCGGGCAUGCAAGCCAGAAGGGAAAUCUGGGGGCUUAACCCCCAAACUGCUUUUGGAACUGCGUGUCUUGAGUGAUGGAGAGGCAGGUGGAAGUCCCAGUGUAGCGGUGAAAUGCGUAGAUAUUGGGAGGAACACCAGUGGCGAAGGCGGCCUGCUGGACAUUAACUGACGCUGAGGCGCGAAAGCGUGGGGAGCAAACAGGAUUAGAUACCCGUGUAGUC
rnacentral:rRNA from 1 species